AACAAUUUAAUUUUAGUCUAUGAUUUGCAUGGCUUGGACGCGGUUGUCUUUUUAGAAGUGCAUAAUUGUGAAACUUUUCCGUGACGCCAUCUUGCUUGCCUUUCGUUUCGUGGUUUCACUUAUUCUUUUGACUGUAAUACAAAGGAUCGAAAUAAUAUCAAAAUGAGCUACGGCAGGCCGCCGCCACGAAUAGAUGGCAUGGUUUCAUUGAAAGUAGAUAAUUUAACAUAUCGGACUACCGCUGAAGAUUUACGAAGAGUAUUCGAGAGGUGUGGCGACGUUGGCGACAUAUAUAUUCCCAGAGAUCGUUAUACACGUGAAAGCAGAGGAUUCGCCUUUGUGAGGUUCUUCGAUAGACGCGAUGCCGAAGAUGCAUUGGAUUCCUUGGACGGGAGGAUGUUAGAUGGCAGGGAACUUCGUGUUCAAAUGGCGCGCUACGGGCGCCCAUCUUCACCAUACCGAAGUCGUUACGAUCGCCGUCGCAGCUUAUCGCGUUCUCGGUCUCGUUCACGUCGUCGAUCCAGGUCCCGUUCGCGGUCGAAGCGGCGUUCGUACUCCCGCAGCCGCUCCCGCUCCCGCUCUCGAUCCGACUCGAAGAGCUCCCGUGGACGCUCCCGUAGCCACAGCCGCUCCCGCUCGCGCUCCCGUCAUUGAAGUAAUGGGUUAAAUGUACCAGCUAGAAGCUUGUGCUGGAUAGAAAGAUGAGAAGCAAAGCAGCCCCUGGCAAGGGCGUGGAGUUUGCUGGGAGAGCGAGCGGUUUGCGGGAAGGGGGGGUUUUGCUGAUUGCUGACAACUGCUGAUUUGCUGUUGUUGCAGUGAAUAAGUUAUGAGUAAACUUUUAUAAUUAAUUGACAAACCGAGACACGCAUUACGUCGGUACAUUUGGCUGCCGCUAACUCAUUAUCACAUCACCUUUUAUGUCUAAAUCAAACAGGUGGAUUAUUUUAGCAUUUUUAUAAUUUUCAAAUAUUAUUAAUUUGCUAAUAUAAAUUGUGAAUAGUUCAGUAUAAAAUAGACUGGAUGCAGCCAGUGGAGUGUUGUUUUUGGGGUUAGUAAGAACUAAUGUGAGCAUUUGUUUGGCAGGCCGGUGCUGCUCGCUGGCCUGUUUGCUGUGGCAGUCCUGUGCUGUGUAAGCUGUGUUUGCAGAUGCGCGCGUCUAGGUUUAUUGGCGACAGCAGAAACACCCUCCUGCCCUGUUAUACCCACACCUUGACAACCUUUUAAGGAUAUAUUUUUAAAUGUGUUUCGAGUUUGCAUCAUUUUAGGUGUUUUAAGGAAUAGGUUGUUGACGCAAAUGACUAAUUGAACCUAAUCUCUUCCUUAAAACUUUUCAAGAAAGAAGACGCGUGGGAAAGAGGUUAAUCAGCAAAAAUGAAGUAUAAUUUUGUCUUAAUAAAUUUAGUAAUAGAA